rnacentral:rRNA from 1 species
GACGAACGCUGGCGGCGUGCUUAACACAUGCAAGUCACGGGGGUCUCGGGGCAACUCGGGAUAACCGGCGAACGGGUGCGUAACACGUAAGCGACCUGCCGAUUCGCGGGGGAUAGCCGGCCCAACGGCCGGGUAAUACCGCAUACGCUUGCUGGGUUUCAUGGCCGGGCAAGGAAACCUCCGGGGAACCGGGAGGGGCGGAUCGAGGGGCUUGCGGCCUAUCAGCUAGUUGGUGGGGUGAUGGCCUACCAAGGCGACGACGGGUAGCCGGCCUGAGAGGGCGACCGGCCACACUGGGACUGAGAUACGGCCCAGACUCCUACGGGAGGCAGCAGUGGGGAAUCUUGCGCAAUGGGCGAAAGCCUGACGCAGCGACGCCGCGUGAGGGAUGACGGCCUU